ensembl:lncRNA
CUUUAUUUUGACCUGCUGUGGUGUGAUGGGUGGGAGGAGGUCAGAAAGGAUGUCAUACGGGGUACUACUUCUUCAGUGAGUCCAUUUUGAUCGCAGAUCUGAAGAAGUUUCUUCAAAAUGGCAAAUAAGGUGAUUUAUGCAGAGCUAUCACCUGAGGAAAGAGUGCAUUAUACUUCACAAACUGCAAAUGCAGGUGAACAGAUAACCUACGCUGAGGUGAAAAGGAGGCGGAGAUCUGACACACCAGAAAGUGCACCAAAGACUACACAUCAAAGCACUGAAGUGAUACUGACAGGCUUCCAACUACCAGAGCAUUCUUUCUUGCCCUUUCUGAAAAUCGGCCAGCUUUCAAGCAACUGAGACCUCUCCAGAUUGUCAAGACCACUGAAAAAAUAGUUGAAGGAGGUUUCGCAAUGACAUCGGUCAUCUCUCUGAGUACCCUGGGAUGAAUACCACUGGGUCCCAUGGAUUUAUAUGCAGCUAGGUGGAGCAGCAAAUCCUUCACUGGUUCGAGGUUGGCUGUGAGUUGAUCAUCACCACAGUCACAGUCUGCCAACUCAGGGCACCUGAGGUGCCAGAACCCAUCAUCAGUGUUGAACACAGAGGCAAAUAAGGCAUUAAACAUCUCUGCUUUGUCUAUGUCCUGUGUGAAAGGUUACCAUUCUCAUCAAGUAAUGAACAAGUGUUCUCUCUGGUCCUCCUUAUGUUGUUAACAUAUUUUAAAAAAAAACCUUCCUAUUGUCCACCACAGUACUGGCCAUCUUUAACUCACAUUCUUCACUGAAACAUCUUUAAAGGUCACAGAAAUUAGGUGCCUGUUCUAAUUCUUAUUUCUAUUUUAUUUUAUUUUUUUUAAUCAUACAGAUCACUAUGAAAAGUGUGAAGGAAUAGGGUUCAGAGGAAAACAAGCACAGAGAUCUUGGGCAGGAUUACAGUGCCAAAAGCAGAAAAUGAUGGAGGCAGGGAUUUAACAACAAAUUAAACACAUAUUUCUUUGUUGCGCUUAAAAAGAGUGGUAAGAGCCUAUCUGGGAAAAGCAGCCUGUAGAAUUCCAAAUUACCUAUGAAAUCUUUUUCCAAAAGCCUGAAGAAGAACAUCACAAUUUCCUUCUGAGUCUUCAGCUGUGUAAACUCAGAAUAGUAAUCCAUGUUAGCACCGCUGUUAUGAGCCAUUUUCCAAAGGACACUCGGGGACAAAACAACUAGGUAUAUUGCUGAGCAAAAUGCACUGACAGAGCCAUGCAGCCACAGCCGAUGAACUGCACCUGCGCAGUAAGGUGAGAGUGCUGGCAAAGCUGUGUACAGCUUCAGAAAAUGAGAGAUCAUGUUUUUAGGCAUCUUCUCAGCAUCUAGCAUGAUAAAAACUAGAACUAGACAGGUUCUUCUGAUCCUGAAAAUGUGAACUCAUAUAUAAGCAUAUAUAAAUACGGGUUUUAUUUUCACCUAAUAACUAAAAUUAAUAAAAACAUUUUCCAAAGGAAUAUUAAGUUUCUACAAAUACAUUUUACUGGGAAAUAACAAAAAGCAAACCCAACUUUUUCAAUUGUAUCUACAGCACAUUGAAGACGUCCUCAUAAACUUCACUUUCUACAGGCGCUAAAUGUGUAGCUCACAGUAACAGGACUGCUUCCGUCCAACAAGACUCUUUCCCCCAACCCUCUCCCUCCUCACCAUGAAUAAUACAUAACUUGAAAAAAAAACUUCAGUUGCUUCUGCCUGUUGUGAGAUCUUCCUUCCUUUUCUCUUCACUAG